AUUGAACGCUGGCGGCAUGCUUUACACAUGCAAGUCGAACGGCAGCGCGGGCUUCGGCCUGGCGGCGAGUGGCGAACGGGUGAGUAAUGCAUCGGAACGUGCCCAGUAGUGGGGGAUAGCCCGGCGAAAGCCGGAUUAAUACCGCAUACGACCUGAGGGUGAAAGCGGGGGACCGAAAGGCCUCGCGCUAUUGGAGCGGCCGAUGUCGGAUUAGCUAGUUGGUGGGGUAAAGGCUUACCAAGGCGACGAUCCGUAGCUGGUCUGAGAGGACGACCAGCCACACGGGGACUAAGCCACGGCCCAGACUCCUACAGGAGGCAGCGGUGGGGAAUUUUGGACAAUGGGGGCAACCCUGAUCCAGCCAUGCCGCGUGCGGGAAGAAGGCCUUCGGGUUGUAAACCGCUUUUGUUCGGGAAGAAAUCCUCUGGGCUAAUACCCCGGGGGGAUGACGGUACCGGAAGAAUAAGCACCGGCUAACUACGUG
rnacentral:rRNA from 1 species